rnacentral:lncRNA from 1 species
GUCCUCCCCAAGGCCAUUCACUCACUCUGUCCCUGAGCUCAUGGCCAGGCUGACUGGGGAGGGUGUUUAAGGCACAGACAGGCCCUGAAGUCCCACCCAUUCUACUGCUGGCUCAGCUCACAUUACCUCCUAUUUGGACUUGUUUGCUGCUCACAGUCAAGUUCUCCAAGACCAGGAUUGCUGGCUCUCAGUUUCUAGAACAACCACAGUGGAAGAUGCUGAUUCAUACUUGCUGGCCUGGAACCGAAACCAGCUGUCUGUCCCUUGUCUGCUGUAAGGAAGAUGCUGUGCUAAUCUCAGGCUCUUCUGCUGUUACAAGAUCUCCUCUCCCCAUAACGAGCUGGAAACCAGAAGUGAAGUUACAUCUGGUGCAUUUUCCAAGAGGAGCCUUGUGCUGUGUGUGGCUGCUGUAUUCUACAUAAAGAGCUGCUUUUCCAACAACCAUGUGGAGACUGAAUAAGGGUUUGAAGGAUAAUCAAGGCUGAGGCCAUGUUCUCCAUCUGCUGAAGCUUUUGGUCACUCAGCCUUCUAGAGGCAGUUACUGUUAAGCCAAGAUCUCAAGCUUCCAGGUCCCAUUCUUGGGUCCUUCCUUAGGUUCAUUGCUUGGAGUUGGUUUUCUCAAUAAAGGAACUUGAACAUUAUUUAAGUUUUGGGCC